GGGGCUGCCCGCGGCGAGGGUGGGUUGCUGACGGGCGGCCCCGGCAGGGGGAAGCGGGGGACAAGCAGCUCUAAGAUCCAAGGCGAGGGGCGGAUGGCGGUCGGCAGCGGUACGGGACUGGGCGGCCUCCCUCUGCCACCCCCGGGCCGUGCCGCCGCGGGCAGAGCGCCGCGCUGCGGCCGCUGGCCGGGCGGGACAAGAGGAAACGAGAGACGGCGAGGCAAGAUGGCGGCGGGCCCGGCGGGAAGAAGCUUGAGGAGCAGCCGAAGAGGCAGCGUGUGCCCAGUUUGCAGUGCUGGAAUAACACCGAGACACUUCGGCGCAAAGGGAUGAGAGCGGAUGGUGCCCUGCGGCACUGCAGGGCUGUACCAGGGCUGUGGCUGGCUAGGCCAGAGAAACCCGUACGCAGGCAGCAUCAAGAGAUAAUGGGAUUUGUCACACCAACACUCAAUUGUGACUAAGCAUCAACUCUUUAUAUGGAACUGUUUGUUGACAGAGGAAGCUGCAGUACUGAAAGCAGUCAGUGCUUGACUGCAUGAGACCAUGCCUCUCACAGAAGAUGAAUGAUGGCGUACUUAAAAACUUUAUGAAAUGCAAACUCCGUUAAAUCCUUUCAAGUUUCUUCUUUGCAAGGCAACAAUAAACCAGGGACUGACUUUUCUUAGAGCUGUUUCUUGAAUAAUUGGGGUGAGGGAAAGCUAAGGUUCCUAUUCAGGUAUGUACAAGAUGUCUUGCUCUCCCUUCAGGUUGGUUUGAUUUACCAUGAAGCUGACCACAGAGGUCAACUUUAAAAAAAAAGCAAAAAAAGCAAAAACUUUAUUUUAGCAUAUAGGGGUUUUUUUGACUCCUAGUAGCAGAAGUGCCUUUUUAGAUACGUGGUGAACUAAAACUUAACAUAGCUGUUUCAUAGAGGUUUUUUUUUCACAGCUAGAAAUAGGUUGCCUUUGAAAACAUGAAGUUGUCAAUAUAAAGGAAUGCAACAGUAAAGUAAGCCAAUAAUUCAUAACUAUCACUGAAACAGUAAAAAACCCCCUGCUUACAAAGGAAAACAGUGAACUGAUUUGAACUCAAUAAAGCAGUAUUGCUGAUUGCUGCAGCCAUUCAGAGUGCUCAUAACUUACUGCUGAAGUAAGGUGUGCUUCAGGUUGUUAAAAAACUUGGGUUCUUUAAUUAUUGAAAUAAUGUAGCUUGAAUAUUCUGCUUUUUGUUUUAUGCCUCUAAAGGCAUAUUAAGAUAAAUAGCUAGGAACUUGUCCUGGUUUUACUCAACAGUGCCUGACAGUUGCCUGCAUGACCCAGUAGGGGGGGGGAGACUACUGAGGUUCCCUUACUUGGACAAGUAUCAGAACUUUAACUUGACUAAAACAGGAUUAAGUUUUUCUCAUUUUAGAAGAGCACUCCUAUCCAGCAUACGCACAGUGUAGUAUCAAGAAGCACACUGCUUAAAUUGACAAUGAUUUAUUGUGUUUAGGAACAUUCAAUAGAUACCAAGUGUUUAGCUUCAGUUUGGCAAUCCUUGCCCACCAAAAAUUGGUUGCUUGUUUUUUUUUUCCUGGCAUAAUCUCCAUUGCCAGCAAUGGAUGUAUCAGAACAAGAAGUUAAUAAAUAAUACACACAGACAGCAGUUUUCUAAACAUACCUCCUCUUUUAAAGGCAUGAUACAGAUUUACUAAACAAAUCUCAAGCAAGUUCUUCACAGAAGAAAAUUUUGCUACAGGCUGUGUCUGAACAUUGUUUUCUUCACCAAUGCUGGUAGUUUAUUUCAUGGAGUACAGUAUUUAUUUUUGAACAGUACUGAUGUAUCAUUUAAAAACAAGUUUUUUUCCCCCCCUUAAGGUAACCUGAGACACAUGACUAGUACUGAACUGUAUGAAUUUAAGAGUGGUGUACCUCUUACUGAGCAUUUCAUGGCAAUCAUGAAUAAACAUUUAAGAGAGGAAAAGGCAAUAUGAUACUCUGUUAGUAGGGGUCUGGGGGAUUUUUUUUUUUGUUUCAGCUUGCUUUUAAACCACUGUUCAAAUAUGAAAGGUAUAUUUAAAUUUAACAGACAUUUUGACUUUCCAUGAAUAAUUGUGUGAAAAACACAACUGAAGAAAUUUCCUGCUCAUAAGAAUCACUUUCAAGUACUUAAAUUUGAAUAUUCCUCUAAAUUCCAUUCACUUAAUAAAAAUGUGUUUUUAUAAAAGCAUGAAGACUACAGAAAACCAAUUAACAUAAUAGAGUUAAUCUUGUUUUCCACAACUGUAUUUUACAUAUCACCAUACUUCUGCUUUAGCAAAAGAAAAAAAAAACAGAAUAAAAAUAAAUUCUCUCCCAACUAUUUACACACAGGCAUUACCCCUGCUGUGGGACCAGACACUUUACUCUGCAGUUCCUCUAACCCAAGGUGUAAUCUUAGGUGUGUCCCUUUGUGAUUUAGGUUCUUGGAAGUUUUCAGCAAACCUUUCUCUUGCUUUAUCCCAGUUCUUCUUAUUCUUGCUCUGGAUGAUCUGAACAUCUUCAAUUGAUGCUGGUCUGCUGGUACCCAAACCUGCAUGUGUCUUAUGUAACUGAAGGUGGAUCUGUCAAAUACAUUAAAUAUUGUUGUAACUGCAAUUUAGGUAUUCUAAAUAAAUCAUAUUUUAUAAUACUAA